AUUGAACGCUGGCGGCAGGCCUAACACAUGCAAGUCGAACGAGUGGCGGACGGGUGAGUAAUGUCUGGGAAACUGCCUGAUGGAGGGGGAUAACUACUGGAAACGGUAGCUAAUACCGCAUACCAUCGGAUCUGCCCAGAUGGGAUUAGCUAGUAGGUGGGGUAAAGGCGAACCUAGGCGCCGAGCCCUAGCUGGUCUGAGAGGAUGACCAGCCACACUGGAACUGAGACACGGUCCAGACUCCUACGGGAGGCAGCAGUGGGGAAUAUUGCACAAUGGGCGCAAGCCUGAUGCAGCCAUGCGGCGUGUAUGAAGAGGUCCUUCGGAUUGUAAAGCACUUUAAGUUGGGAUGCGUUACCAACAGAAUAAGCACCGGCUAACUUCGUGCCAGCAGCCGCGGUACUUC
rnacentral:rRNA from 1 species